ACGAACUCUGGCGGCUGCUUAACACAUGCAAGUCGAACGGAGUGGCGAACGGGUGAGUAACGCGUGAGCAACCUGCCUAUGACAGUGGGAUAGCCUCGGGAAACCGGGAUUAAUACCUCAUAGUCAUAGAUGGGCUCGCGUCUGCUUAGCUAGUUGGUGAGAUAACAGCCCACCAAGGCGACGAUCAGUAUCCGGUCUGAGAGGAUGAACGGCAAAAUUGGAACUGAGACACGGUCCAAACUCCGACGGGAGGCAGCAGUGGGGAAGAUUGAACAAUGGGGGAAACCCUGAUGCAGGGAGGCGGCGGGAACGAAGAAGGUAUUCGUAUCGUAAAGUUCUGUCGUAUGGGAAGGAGUACCAUAGAAGAAAGCUCCGGCUAAAUACGGGCCAGCAGCCGCGGUAAUAC
rnacentral:rRNA from 1 species